AAGAAAUCCGUGAUGGCCAUGAUGGCGGGGAAGCUGAACAAUGUUGUCAUCGAAUAUAGAACUAUUAUAUUGAAUCGAAAAAUGAUCUAAGCUGUGGCCUUAAAGGAGUAGUCUCCUUUGAUAAAGAUCAACAGUGACAAAUAAACAAUGCUGUCUUGUCAUCAACGGUGAAAUUUGAGACUUUUAUACCCAUAUAUCUACCAAUCACCUCUGUCCACUUUGUUUUGUACAUCUGAGACAGGUGUACACGAGAUGCCAGUAUUCACUCCUUUCCACGGACACCUGUUAGGAGGAUUUUCAUUUGUUUGCUGCCUUUGUCUUGGGAGGUGGAGGCACCAGGGCAAUGAGGUCAUUUUGUCCCUUUAUUAUGCUGACAGAGAGUCCCUAACCAUCUGAUCCAUCAUGAUAGGCAUUUUUCUUUAUGAUGCAGUACUUGCUGAGAGAGAGAGAGAGAGUCUCAUACUCGGAUGAGCACAGCGUAGAUAUAAAUCAAAAUCCCGGACUUGUGUUUCAUACACAAUGAUGUAUAAGUGGCUCAUCUUACAUCAAAUGGAAUGGAUCCAUGCCAGGAUUCACUUUUCCUUCCCAUGCUGGUUCCAGUCCAGUAAACUGUCACAGUCUGGGAAAUUCUGUCACUGGUGAUGCCGCAGAAAGAAAAC